rnacentral:rRNA from 1 species
CUACGGGUGGCUGCAGUGGGGAAUAUUGGACAAUGGGCGAAAGCCUGAUCCAGCCAUGCCGCGUGUGUGAAGAAGGCCUUCGGGUUGUAAAGCACUUUCAGUGGGGAAGAAAGCCUUGGGGCUAAUACCCUCGAGGAAGGACAUCACCCACAGAAGAAGCACCGGCUAACUCCGUGCCAGCAGCCGCGGUAAUACGGAGGGUGCGAGCGUUAAUCGGAAUUACUGGGCGUAAAGCGCGCGUAGGCGGUCUGAUAAGCCGGUUGUGAAAGCCCCGGGCUCAACCUGGGAACGGCAUCCGGAACUGUCAGGCUAGAGUGCAGGAGAGGAAGGUAGAAUUCCCGGUGUAGCGGUGAAAUGCGUAGAGAUCGGGAGGAAUACCAGUGGCGAAGGCGGCCUUCUGGACUGACACUGACGCUGAGGUGCGAAAGCGUGGGUAGCAAACAGGAUUAGAUCCCCCAGUAGUC